rnacentral:rRNA from 1 species
UACGUAGGAGGCAAGCGUUGUCCGGAAUUACUGGGCGUAAAGCGCGUGUAGGUGGUGGGACAAGUCUGCUGUGAAAGCGCCUGGCUUAACCGGGCGAGGUCGGCGGAAACUGUCGCACUCGAGGACGGUAGAGGGGGGUGGAAUUCCCGGUGUAGUGGUGAAAUGCGUAGAGAUCGGGAGGAACACCUGUGGCGAAGGCGGCUCACUGGACCACAACUGACGCUGAGGCGCGAAAGCUAGGGGAGCAAACAGG